GGAGACAUAGCAGCAAUCCAAGUCCAAUAAUAGAGUUUGAAGGCAACCGUGAAUUGGUCUGAAUUUUCUGACACUUGAGGUCUGAACAAAAAGGGAUGACGCACAUUCAUGCUGUGAUGCUGGUUGCUGCUGCUUCAAAGUAAGUAGCUCAUCUUGAUACCCUGAUACCUCGCCUUGCAUCUGCCUAACUGGCGCGUAAUCGCUCCGGCAUCUUGUCCAGGGUCUCGACAGGACCAUUCCCGGCAACAGAAGAAAUGUUUUGUGCAUCUAGUGUCGCCUGCUGAAAAGACCAGGGUUGGAUAGGAAUACAGGCAUGUUCCAUCUUUGUUACAAACGAACAUCCCGUUACUUUUGCCAUCACAAUGAUUUCAGCCUUGUAAGUACAACUCUGUUUCAAAUUUAAAUUUAGAAGGUCGAUCAUGUUCAUAUACGCUGCAUCUCAGGAACAGAUUCAAGUUACAGCCAUUACAAACUGGAAACUGCCAAUCAUGCCUGCACUGGUAACACAUGAUGAUUUCACAACCGAGCUGAAUGAGUUAGAUGCAUUAUGUCAAUCCAAUCCUAAAACAAUUUCUGCCUUGCUGGCCAUUAAGAACUUGCUUGCAGCCAUGCACGACGGAGUUCGCGCGUAUCCACCAUGAAAACGACCUGUCCCGAUUCAUUCAAUCACCAUCAAUCCCUGUCGUCUUCGUCUUCAUCCAGCGAAUUCGACCGCCUCCGCCAGCUCAGCACGCGCCCGAUCCGCGGCAGCCUCAUCACCGAGUUGGCCCGCGCCACCCCCUCCAGGGCUCUCCACACCGUCGUCCCUUCCUCCG
rnacentral:lncRNA from 1 species